GAUGAACGCUGGCGGCGUGCCUAAUACAUGCAAGUCGAACGAAACUUCUUUAUCACCGAGUGCUUGCACUCACCGAUAAAGAGUUGAGUGGCGAACGGGUGAGUAACACGUGGGCAACCUGCCCAAAAGAGGGGGAUAACACUUGGAAACAGGUGCUAAUACCGCAUAACCAUAGUUACCGCAUGGUAACUAUGUAAAAGGUGGCUAUACUACCGCUUUUGGAUGGGCCCGCGGCGCAUUAGCUAGUUGGUAGGGUAAAGGCUUACCAAGGCAAUGAUGCGUAGCCGAAUUGAGAGGUUGAUCGGCCACAUUGGGACUGAGACACGGCCCAAACUCCUACGGGAGGCAGCAGUAGGGAAUCUUCCACAAUGGGCGAAAGCCUGAUGGAGCAACGCCGCGUGGGUGAAGAAGGUCUUCGGAUCGUAAAACCCUGUUGUUAGAGAAGAAAGUGCGUGAAAGUAACUGUUCACGUUUCGACGGUAUCUAACCAGAAAGCCACGGCUAACUACGUG
rnacentral:rRNA from 1 species